rfam:Ricinus communis cultivar Hale ctg_1100012360544, whole genome shotgun sequence.
GACUCUCGGCAACGGAUAUCUCGGCCCUCACAUCGAUGAAGAACGCAGCAAAAUGCGAUACUUGGUGUGAAUUGCAGAAUCCCGUGAAUCAUCGAGUUUUUGAACGUAAGUUGCGCCCGAAGCCCCCACAACCGAUAAUGCGAUGUGCUUAAGGCUCG